AUCGUGACUAUGUAACCAGUAUUGGUCGGUGGCCCAAGGUCUCUCUCCUUUCAGGGUUCAACCUCCAACCUUAUUUCUGCUUCCUUCAUGUUGGAAUUCACACUGUGAGAAUUGUUGUCAUCCUUUCUCUACGACUCCAAGAGAAACUUUAUACUGGAGGAAGAAUAUUCUACCACUUUGGGAUGCUUCCAAAGAAAUGGGAUACCAAAGGAGUGAACUUCAGGUCAUUGGAAGUGGCCAAGCUGGAGGGCGACCUAUGGAGACAUGACCUUCAGUUCUUCCUGAGAUCGAUAAAGCUUAAAAGAAAAGAAAAAGCCAACUCAGCUUGUGCGUGGAUCCUGGACCUUGCUCUAAUACAGACCCCGCUCCUGGAGUGUAAGCCAUGCUUGACGGCUCAGCUUUCUUGUCACUAAUGAGGUGGGAUGUGGUUGUGCAUUCAAAAUCUAGCAAGGACGAAGUGAGUGCACCACUGAUUAAACAUGGAGAGAAAUUUCUUUCCAAAGGGCUGUGUAAGAGGAGAAGCAGGAGAUGUAUGUAAGAUUUCUCAUUUGUGCAAUGCAUCCUCUGAACCACUGUGAUGCCACGGGCUGCUGAACUUUCCACAGGGGCCAUUAGGGACGAAAUCACACCGAUGGAAUGAAAGGGAAAAUAACCAAAGACAACAGCAACAGCUCAAAACACCAGAAAAAGCAGCAACACUAUAUCUAUCCGUCACUGGCCCAACUCGACAUCUGGAAAAGAACCCAGAGUAGCUGCCAACCAGAUGGCCCCUUGGUGUAAGUGGGAGGAGGUACCUGUCCAGGCACAUGCAGCCCUACACAGGCUGAAUUUCAGGCCUCCUCGUGCAGGGAACCCUCUUCCCAGCUGUACAUGGUCCCCUGAGCAUUCGCAUGUAAUUCUCUCAUCUUUCCAGCCAUUCUUUUUCUCUUUCCUUUUUUUAAGGCCUGGCAGCUACCUUUUUUUUUUUUUUUUUUAGGACCGUGAAGCUGCAGCCUCUGACAUGAUAUGUAGAUAAAAGACGUCACGGGGAUAAGAGCUAGAGAAAGCUUUAACGAGAAGAGCUUAGACCAUUUUCAAAGCUCCUCCACAGUGCACGGAGGGGCCCAAAGCUGGCGGAGCGCUGGGCGACACGCUCCCGCUCGCACCAAGGCCUCGCUCUGAUGAGCUGGGCAAUUGGGAGACUGUUUGAACAAACCAAAGAAAAAUAUCAAAA
rnacentral:lncRNA from 1 species